rnacentral:rRNA from 2 species
UACGUAGGUUGCAAGCGUUGUCCGGAUUUACUGGGUGUAAAGGGCGUGUAGGCGGAGAUGCAAGUUGGGAGUGAAAUCCCGGGGCUCAACCCCGGAACUGCUUUCAAAACUGCAUCCCUUGAGUAUCGGAGAGGCAAGCGGAAUUCCUAGUGUAGCGGUGAAAUGCGUAGAUAUUAGGAGGAACACCAGUGGCGAAGGCGGCUUGCUGGACGACAACUGACGCUGAGGCGCGAAAGCGUGGGGAGCAAACAGG